rnacentral:rRNA from 1 species
UACGUAGGGUGCAAGCGUUAAUCGGAAUUACUGGGCGUAAAGCGUGCGCAGGCGGUUGUGCAAGACAGAUGUGAAAUCCCCGGGCUCAACCUGGGAACUGCAUUUGUGACUGCACGGCUGGAGUGCGGCAGAGGGGGAUGGAAUUCCGCGUGUAGCAGUGAAAUGCGUAGAUAUGCGGAGGAACACCGAUGGCGAAGGCAAUCCCCUGGGCCUGCACUGACGCUGAGGAGCGAAAGCGUGGGGAGCGAACAGG